CGCACAAAUGUCAACGAAGUAUUCGUCAGUUUAUAAAAUAUAUUGUGUGGAAUAUUCCUAUUCGUCAAAUAAUAGGAAAUAAUGCAAUUCAAAUUAUACGAAGUGAACGAGGUGAAGAUCUAGUACUAUUAGAUAAUAAUAAAUAUCGUUUUAUUCGGAAACGUAAAGACACAAGGAUGAAAUGGAAGUGUUCAAAUAAUAAAUGUACUGCAAACAUGGCUGUCUGUUCAAUAUGAAAUUGUUGGCAAUGAAACCUUCGGAAAAUUCCAGGUAAGUUUUAAAUAAAUUAAUAAAUGCAAAUUAAUAAUUAUUACAAUUAAUAACUUUCUAGGAUUACCAAUGC